rnacentral:rRNA from 1 species
GCCAUGCAUGUCUAAGUCCUGCCUUGUGUGUUGUGGGUGCAAGCUCGCGCACACGUCUAUACCGCAGACGGCUCAUUAAAUCAGUUGUGGUCCGUAUGGGCUAGAGAAAUCCUACCUGGAUAACUGUGGUAAUUCCAGAGCUAAUACAUGCAACUGAUAGUCCGAUCGGUGGUACGCAAGUAUUACUGUGACGGCUGCUUUUAUUAGACCAAACCGCUGAAGGGGAUCCCCCCCCAAGACUCGUGAUAUGGUGACUCUGGAUAAUACCACUGACAAGCGCAUGUAUCCNUUUAUAUGGGACGGCGCUGCCUCUUACGAGUAUCUGCCUUAUCAGCUAUGAAUCGUUCGUUAUGUGCACACGAUGGCUUUGACGGGUAACGGGGAAUCAGAAUUCGAUUCCGGAGAGGGAGCCUGAGAAACGGCUACCACGUCUAAGGACGGCAGCAGGCACGCAAAUUACCCAAUCCCAGUUACUGGGGGAGGUAGUGACGAAAUCUAACGAUGCGGGCGCCCCUUCUGGGGCCCCGCAAUUGGAAUGAGCAUUUUCUUUCAAACACCCUGUAGAGAACCUACUGAAGGGCAAGUCUGGUGCCAGCAGCCGCGGUAAUUCCAGCUUCAGCAGCAUAUACUAAAGUUGCUGCGGUUAAAAGGCUCGCAGUUGAAUGUCAGUAUCAAGUGCAGUGUGGUGGACGUUGGAGUGUGGGACUGUUCCCUCGAUUCUCUUCUGUGUCGGUAUGUAGGCCUCGUGCUUGCUGCUUGUGCUUGAGGGGUUGAGUGUGUUCAGUCUCCAUCUAUAGCUCCCGUCCGUAAACAGCCGCCUCACUUGUGUACAAAGUGGAAGCUAUAUGGUUAUUAAGAUCUGUUUGUGGGGGGCCGCUUCAGUGUGUCGAGUUAACUACCCUUCGCGGGUGUAUGCGCUCGCGCGUUGUCGUGUGUCUCUCGCUUACUUUUCUCUCGGUUAAAGGUUUUCAAAGUCACCUUGAGUAAAUCAGAGUGCUCAAAGCAGUCGUAAGGAAUGUGCAGCUCGCGCUGUACGUUCUGUGAUGAAUGUCUAUGACAGACAGUCUCGGUUUUGCAUGGAAUGUCGGAAGACGCCGUAUCUCCUGUUGGUAACGAGUCCCGUGCGGGGUUCACUUGUGACUACUUCGCGGUGGAAGCUUGUGGCAUACACGACCAACAGGUGCGGAAUGAUUAAGAGGUUCGGUCGAGGGCGUUGGUAUUGCGAGGCGAGAGGUGAAAUUCUAUGACCCCCGCAAGACCUCCUGAAGCGAAAGCGUCUGCCAAGGACGUUUCAUAAUCAKAACGACCAGGCGUGGAGCCUGCGGCUUAAUUUGACUCAACACGGGCCAUCUCACCAGGCCAGCACUCUUGUAUGAUUGACAGAUCGAGAGUUCUUUCUCGAUUCAGUGGAUGGUGGUGCAUGGCCGUUCUUAGUUGGUGGAGUGAUCUGUCUGGUUAAUUCCGAUAACGAACGAGACUCUCCCCUGCUAACUAGUCGGUUGGAUCUUGCGUCUGGAGAGUAGUGCAUUCAUGGGGUCGUUGCGACGUGUGUGUUGGUCUCGCUCUCGGGCAGGCCGCGCCGUGUUGUGGUGUGCUUCUGUGUUUGUCACACUCCAAGUCCGCCGCUUACUUACACAAGUGGAGUGUAACAGCAAAGCAUUAUGAGUAAAACUCUUCUUAGAGGGAUUCACGGUUCGGAAGCCGUAAGAAACUGAGAGCAAUAACAGGUCUGUGAUGCCCUUAGAUGUUCUGGGCCGCACGCGCGCUACAAUGCCGGGCUCAGCAGGUAUCUAUCCUGCUCCGAGAGGAGUGGGUAACCCUGUGAAAGCCCUGCAAACAAAUUUUCAAAGGGUUCGCGCUCUUGUACACACUUAGUGUGUGUGCAGCUGUGUGUUCUCUUCCAUGGCAUGCUUGGGCCUGGGGCUUGCAAUUGUUUCCCACAAACGAGGAAUGCCUAGUAGCGGCGGAUCACUGAGUUCGCUGUGACUCAGUCCCUGCCCUUUGUACACACCGCCCGUCGCUACUACCGAUUGGGUGUACCAGUGAGAUCUUUGGACUGGCGAGCCUUGUUCCCCAGCAAUGGAGUGCAAGUGUGUACGACGGAAAGAGGCUCGAACUGGUGCACUUAGAGGAAGUAAAAGUCGUAACAAGG